rnacentral:misc_RNA from 1 species
AGUCGUCCUCGGUCUGUGGAGGGGAGAGCGUCGCGUCCGACGGUGGUGGCGCGGGCGCCGCGAGUGAUUGUGCGGUGUGGGGCUGAUUGUGAGGUGAUUGGUGAUCUGACCGGGACGGAACGAGCACGAGUGAUUCGACACGAUGACCAGAAACAAGUCAGACGAUUGGGAUGUGGAUAUUAAAUCGGCUCACAUUCCAGCCGUUCACGAGCCGCCCCGGUUUGAGAUGGCCCGCACUCCGGAGCACCGUCUAAACUCGGGCAGCUUUCAGCGCUCUGCCACCAUGACCAUCGCGCUGGACGGAGAACAGGCGCACCUGAGCGGCGGCGGGUGGGGGCGAGGCGGGGACACGGGGGACGGCCGGCACGUGCCGCUCAUCGUGUGCGGAGUGACCGCCGGCCUUCUGCUGGUGCUCAGCGCCGCCCUCACCCUACUCCUCUGGAGGAGACGCGCCAUGAAGAGCAGGAGCGAAAAGAUCUACAAGUUGCGGAAAGAGGAGAAGGACCCUUGGUCAGAAAGCCCGCCAGGAAAAAGCUCCGGCUGCCUGAAGCUGUGUACGGAGGGUAUCCGCGGCUCGGGCCUCCCCAUCUACUAUCAUCGCGCUUCCCAGCCGGCAUCGCCCGCGCAGACGCCGACUACGACCGCUGCUGAUGUCACCAGCACACCGCUGCAACACAAGCCGCCGACAGCGCCGCCGCUGACGGUCAAAUCUCACAACAUCCCUCCUCCUCUGGAGCCGAGCGGCGGUCGGCCCAAGGACUCCCCGCGGUGGACCGACAACGUCGUCUACAUCUCCGGAUACAGCCCGACCCUGGAGAAACGGAGACCACUGGGCGAGCCCGCCACCUCCGCCACCGCCUCUGCGCAGGCAGAGGUGCACGAUACGACCGCCGCGUACCGGACGCUGCCGUCCAAACAGAAACGACUGCAGCAGUUCUACGCGGCCGCCUCGGCUGCCGAUGUCGGGCCGUGUGCUCCCAGCGCUGGAGAAGUGAGUCCAGACCGAGUGGAUCUCAUGCUGCUGGACGAGGAAAUGAGGACCCGCAGUCUGCCCUCCUGGAUGAGGAACAAGAACAAGGGCAAACUGCAGGACUCCAGCCAACACCCGCUGAGCUUCAGCCACAAGCAGCGGAACCGGAUGGGCAACGACGCUGCCUCUGUGAUCGCACGCGCGCGCACCCACUACCCCAGCCGCUCGGGGCAGGAGCCGACCAUCGUCUACGACGUCAGAACGGCCCUAUAGUGACGUCAUAGGGACGCAGAGCGGCACUGACGUCACGACGGAUCUCCAGUGGUAUCGUGAUGGAACUCUAGUGACGAUGAAAUGGAACUCCGGUGACGUGAAAAUGGAACUCUUGGUUGCGUCACGGUCCUAGUGCAGAACUCUGGUACCGUUACGACGGAACCCUGGUGACGUAGUGAAGUCAUACUGGACAUAUAGAAACGUUUUGGGUUGACAGUAGUCGUGUGACUUAGAUGAAAGUGAAGUGAUCAAAUGGCAGCUGAUACCACAGUGACAUCAAAUUAUCUUUUAGUGACGAUUCAGUGACGAAAGGAAAGAGAUGCAUCAGUGGUGUGCGAUUGCUGCGACGAGCUAAAACAUUGUGGGAGAAUUAUGUGAGCACACGAUCAACGUAAAGCAUACAGUCAACCUAUAACUUCGUAUGGUUUCAUGUCCCUUCUACCAUUUGUAUGAUCAUUUCCUCAGUUUACAUCGUCUGAAAUGAGGACAGCGACAUGUUACGUGUGUGUUUUCGUUUGGUGGGUCGUCACGGGCUUGGUGGAUGUGUUUGAUGCUGUGCUACCUUGGUCUCAUCUCAUUCGAGCAAAGUAUCAACUGAGGCAGCCAAUGUCAGGAUGAUAGGCUGGAUCCCGCGCCAGAUCCACCGAGUUACAGACAUCUCAUCAGCCUGGGAUGGCUCGGUGGCUCCUAAAACCGACUCGUGCCCAAAAAGUUACCACGAGUCCUUAUAACCAGUCUGGAUUCUGUUUAUGGAGGAGAAUAAGGUCCCCGUCACGGGUUACGCCUGUCACUGAGGAAAGGACUGGCGUAGCUUUAUUCUUUAGUGUCCGUACACUUCAUCACACGAAGCGGACAUUUUUUUUAUAGUGAUUGAGGCUAAAUCGGGCUACAACUAGGCAUUUACCAGAAGCAAGGGAAGGGCGAAUGUGGACGGGUCUAGUCAAAUGGCUACACUUCUUCAGGCAAGGUAUCUCGGCAUUUAAUUGAUGUGUGACAGCGGUCAUGCUUGAGUAAUGAGUAUGUAGGCUGGUGGUAUGGUGUAAGCCAUCGUUUAAGCUCUCGGUUUUGAUAAGGCAUUGGACCGUCUCGCGGACGGGUUUUGCUGGUCCCAUUUCACUCGUGUGACAUCACGCACUACAUGUGACGUCACCUGACCAAAGACAAGCGAACGACGUGGGAUAUCAGAGUGGGAUGCGUUUUGCUUUUGGAUAUACGGCUUGGCGAAUGUCAUAAUUGUUGCACCGCACCACCACCGCGCAUGCAUGAAAUGCAAUGUGUGUGCUUGUUGGGCUUGGCUGCAGACGGCUGAUAUUGUGAAGGAAUUGAUGACGUCAUACGUGAUGACGUGCAGUGUCCGGCGGUCAGAUGGAGAACAUCUCAGAUAUGUGAUACGCGUAGUGUGAGACACGACACAGUGCCAGUAUGUGUAGCUGUUCUCGUAGCGUGUGUCACCAGCUGGCGUCGUAUUAGGCCCAAGGCAAUUAGAGUUCGAUAGAACUGAUGAGCACGUUGGCUGGAGCUGAUUGUGAGCACAAGCGGUGCCGUGAGAGUGUUUGUUUACGGGCUUGUUUUAUACCUGUGGUGUUAGUGAUAGCGUGAAUGUUGGUGUAUCUUUUUCGCCAUCCUUUUUUGCAAUAGCGAAACAUCGGUAAGAGA